rnacentral:rRNA from 1 species
CGAGCACGCGCGUGUGGCAUAUCAAUAAGCGGAGGAAAAGAAACUAACAAGGAUUCCCUAGUAACGGCGAGUGAAGCGGGAAGAGCUCAAAUUUGAAAUCUUAAAGGGUUUUCCCUUGACGAAUUGUAGUUUAAAGAAGUGUUUUCUGUUGAAGUUUCGGUAAAAGUUCUUUGGAAUAGGACAUCAUAGAGGGUGAGAAUCCCGUAUUUGAUCGUUACUUUUCAGCUGUGUGAUACACUUUCAAAGAGUCGGAUUGUUUGGGAAUGCAGUCCAAAAUGGGUGGUAAAUUUCAUCUAAAGCUAAAUAUUGGCGAGAGACCGAUAGCGAACAAGUACCGUGAGGGAAAGAUGAAAAGAACUUUGAAAAGAGAGUUAAACAGUACGUGAAAUUGUCAAAAGGGAAGCGUUUGACACCAGUGUUGUUUUUCCGAAAAUCAAUUACGAAUGUUUUAGUUUUUGAGGAGUUAUGACUUCAUCGGCUUGCUCCUUUCUUUAUGAAACUUUCUUAAUGCACUUUUCGGUUAACAAGUCAACAUCAAUUUCUUUUGUUGUAAAAGGGUAUGAGGAAGGUGGCUUUCCUUUUCGGAGAAAGUGUUUAUAGCCUUGUGCCUCUGCAAUCGGAGAGAUUGAGGUCUGCAGCGUAGAUCCUUCGGGGUUAGAUACGUUUGUGCUAAGUUAUAGCUUUUCAUAGACAACUUGUUGACUAUGUUUAGUCUUGUAGCUUACUCGCUUACUGCUAUUUUACCUACGCUUAGGAUGUUGAACUCUAUCACACACAG